CACAACAGACACACCAGACAUCACAACACAUGCGACUAAAACCUUAAUUAAAACAUAAGGUGAGCUAUAACAGUUCUGCUUGAGGUUAUUGUUCGUAACUGUUUGCGUCAUCAUUUUUGGUGUGUGUUGACAGUCACCGAUUAUUUACUUAUCUCUCAAAAGUUAAAAUAAGAAAAUCCUGUCUGGACAGUGAAGGAGAAAAUAUUAGGUCAGAUAUCUUCCCUCAAUCAAACCCUCAUAGGGUUCUGGUUCUGGAUUAGCACAGAAGUAAAAAGUGGUUUAUUGUUAAACAAGGCAUGUACAGUACAAUGCACCAUGAUUUUGGAAACACUGUUACUUUAUCACACCUUCAGAGUUACAUCAUCAGUAUUCAUUAUCCAUCAGAAGCAGAAACUAUUUAUUUUUAACAACACAAUCUAUGUACUGUACCUUUAAUGGAAAUGUUUGCACGUUCCCUUUGUGGGUAGUGGGUUAGAGGACAAAUGAAACUUAACCAUGAAAUGAAACUUAACUCAUCCUAACUGCCAGUUCAGUGUUGAGAGCAAGCAGCCUGAUCUCUGGAAGUGGAACUGAUCAGUUUGUAUUUUAAGUUUAAUUAUUUUUGUUUACUGAUUAAGUCGCCUGUUUCCGAAUCUCCUUGCAAGUAUACAUCACUUCAGCAUGUCUGACUCAGUGAGGUCCUUCCAAGCAUAUGGGGCUCUUGGUGUUGAAAGCAUCCACUCAUUUAAGACUGACUUAGCCCGGCAAGGUCUACUGGACUCUUGAAGUCCAACCUGGACUAUGCCAUGAAAGCAGUAGAGGCCAUGCCCAUCUCCAAAAGGACAAAUGCUGCCCUACAGGUGGAAGGAGAGAAAAUACGUAUCAGGAUCACUACAGGGAAACCUUUCUUCCAUCAUAUGGUGUGGAAUGACAAUGAUGGUCCCAAACUGCUUCAGAAAAUCAACGUAAAUAGUAAACAGCUGACAACAUAUUCAUAGGUCACACUACAUGGGACAUUGUUGCAGGGAUGAAUUGAAUAGUUGCAUGAAGCAGGCACGUGAGGCAGUGGCCUCCGAUGGAGAAGGCCUUGCCAACGUGGCGCUGAAGAUCAGAUGUGGAGAGCUACAGCUCACCUACACCACUCUAGAACCCUCCACUACCAUUGAGAUCCAGCCUGAAUGGAGAGUAAGAAUCAAAGAUUCCUUCUUGAAGGAUGUCCUCAGAGUGAUGCACAAUAUGGAGAAGGUUGGGGAGAUGUCCCCUGGCAUGCUGGCCUGCUUUCAGCUCCUGUUAAAAGCUCCUCCCAAACCUGAAAAGAAAGCCAUUGAUAAUAUCUUGCUCAUGGGUGAAGGACAAAAAGUUGAGCUUCUCUAUGAUAACUGUUUUGCCAGGUAUCCAGAAAGCUGUGUUAUCCUCAUUGAUGGACAUAAAGCCCAAAUGUACUAUUCGACAGAUUACAAAUUGUAAAGGUUUCAUUUCAUGCUUGUCAGACAAAUAUUUUAAAUUAUUUCACUUGCUUAACAUACGUAUAUCACUGGUUAAAAAGAAGUUUCGUUCCAGCAGACCCACUCAGACCUGAUGAGUACAUGAAAUAUUAGUAACAAUAUCAUUUCCUACAGAUGGAUAGAAUAAUGGGGGCAGUAUGACUAUAUUAGACAGUUAUAUCCACAUUGUACUGAGUUUGCUGGGAUUAUAAACUUCUUUCAUUUAAACCAUUUUAAUUAUCUGACAUAGCCUAUAGCACCAGUUAAGCUUUGAUCACCGAUGUUAUAUUACUUUAGUAAUCAUAUCAAAAUUAAAAAAAUGUAUCCCUUGCAAAAAUAUGAUCCUUACAAAUUGUUAUAACAUAAACUGUAUGAACUGUA